ensembl:lncRNA
AGCAGUUUGUGAGAAUGCUGCCUAAUAGGCUUCUGACAGAGCCAGCUGGAUACUAAUUCUCACCUAACAUGGACAACAUGGGGAAUUUUCAGAGAGCCCACUUCACUGUACUGUGGGACCAACAAAUCUGAUGCAUGUGCAACUGGUGUGGAAGCCUGACACUGUCAAAAUUUGUUAUCAUGGGCUCUCUGCCAUCACCCCAGCUGGCAAAAAUGGGACACAGUUCCACUGCAUGAAUGGAAGACACCUUGCAGUCAGUGAUACUCACAGAGUGGCACUCUUUGAAACUGACACAUACUUCAUCUGCUUGUGAAAUGUUGCAACCAAGGAUACCUCCUGUAAAAUUUUAUUUGUAGCCCCACUGGAUCCUUUAAUAAAGGAUGCUUCUGAAUCUUAUUGCUUGUUUCAUUUUCUUCAGAUCAGAAACUAAAGCACUUCCAAUGGAAACAAAAUCCCGCUGGUCUGUGCAAAUCCUACCUGGCUGUC